rnacentral:rRNA from 1 species
UGUCAGCAGCCGCGGUAAUACGGCGGGUCCGCGCGUUAUCCGGAAUUAUUGGGUUUAAAGGGUCCGCAGGCGGGCUUAUAAGUCAGGGGUGAAAUGGUGCGGCUCAACCGUAGCACUGCCCUUGAUACUGUUAGUCUUGAGUUAUGGUGGAGUGGCCGGAAUAUGUAGUGUAGCGGUGAAAUGCAUAGAUAUUACAUAGAACACCGAUCGCGAAGGCAGGUCACUAACCAUAUACUGAAGCUGAUGGACGCAAGCGUGGGGCGCGAACAGGAUUAGAUA